UAGGGAAUCUUCCGCAAUGGACGAAGUCUGACGGAGCAACGCCGCGUGAGUGAAGAAGGAUUUCGGUUCGUAAAACUCUGUUGUUAGGGAAGAAAAAAUGUAUAGUAACUAUAUACAAAAGAGACGGUACCUAACCAGAAAGCCACGGCUAACUACGUGCCAGCAGCCGCGGUAAUACGUAGGUGGCAAGCGUUGUCCGGAAUUAUUGGGCGUAAAGCGCGCGCAGGUGGUUUAGAAAGUCUGAUGUGAAAGCCCACGGCUCAACCGUGGAGGGUCAUUGGAAACUAAUAAACUUGAGUGCAGGAGAGAAAAGUGGAAUUCCUAGUGUAGCGGUGAAAUGCGUAGAGAUUAGGAGGAACACCGGUGGCGAAAGCGGCUUUUUGGCCUGCAACUGACACUGAGGCGCGAAAGCGUGGGGAGCAAACAGG
rnacentral:rRNA from 1 species